GUAACCUUCUGAGCUAGAGUAGGCUCAGAGACUCCCUCAUCUGUUGAAAUCGAAUCUCCAAUGUUUUGCCUUUAAGAGGUGGGGCUGUUGGGUCAUGAGGGCAGAACCCUCGUGAAUGGGAAUAAUCCCGCCAUAAAAGAGGCCUGAGGGAGUUUGCUUGCCCCUUUCCUCCUUCCACCAUGUGAGAAUGCAGCAAGAAGGUGCCCUGUAUGAAGCAGAGGGCCCUCACCAGGCACCGAAUCCGGUGGCACCUUGAUGUUGAACUUCUCGGCCUUCAGAACUGAAGUUUUGUGGCCAUGGGGAUGCUGACAAAGAUUGCUUGGGAUGCACACAAGGCAGCGGCGAAGCCUGAGGGGUGCUGCCAGGCCGGGCUCUCCACUGGCCACGGCCUGACCGACUGCUAUUCCAGAGGCAUCACCCGUCAGGCCUCACCGGAAGGCUGCACAGCCGGUGCCACCUCAGAGAGUCUCUGGCAAGAGGUCAGCCUCCUCUGGCUGCUCCUGCCCUUUUGUGGAUCUGCUUUCCUAGUCCAGGUGCUCUGUUCGGAGGGCUCAGGGACCCUUAAGGGAAGACACCUUUCUUCACUCUGACUCAGUACUUUUACACUCUCAGCUUUUUCCCCUCUCACUACCCAACUCCCCAGCCCCUGGUCCACAACCCUUCAGGAAGCCUUUGGUUAGGGGCCCCCUCAAGAGUGAGAUGACCCCCACAUCUGUGCUGAUCCUCCUGACCCUGAACCGUAUGGGUGCAUUGUUCCAAGGGGAAAAUGAAGCAGGAGAGCUCAGCACUCCCUCCAGUGUUAGCCUCUUGCUUGUACUACUGCAGUGCGGGAUUAAAGUCUUCGCUAUUACUUCCAUUUGUGCUUGUUGUAGCUUCAAGUGGCUACUCUAACACCUGACAGCUCAGCUCCCUUCCAGCUCUACUGAGCUCCUGACAGCGCCAUGCGAUGCAAUUUAAUCUAAGAGGAAUUCAGCCGCAUGGUUAUACCGGGGCACGGUGGAGAAUAAAUGACAUUCUGCCUUUGUUCUGCCUAAAAUACAGGUGUGAUGACUGGAGAUGCAGAAGCCAUUCCAUUAUAUCAACAUAACAUGAUAAGCCAAGACCCUAAAGAUGCUGAGAAAAAUGGUCAAAAGAGCUUGGGGUUUUUUUGGUUUUUUUGUUUGUUUGUUUUGUUUUUUUUGAGGCAGUGGUCUCACUGUGUUGCCCAAGCUGGUCUCAAACUCCUGGCCUCAGGCUUCAGCCUCUCAAAACUGCUAGGAUUACAAGUGUGAGCCACUGCAUGAGACUGGGCUGUUUUUUGUUUGGUUUGGUUUUUUUAGAGACAGGGUCUUGCUCUGUCACCCAGGCUAAAAUGUAGGGAUGUGAUCAUAGCUCACUGCAGCCUCAACCUCCUUGGCUCAAGUGAUCCUCCCACCUCAGCCUCCCAAGUAGCUGGGAAUACAGACAUGCACUACCACACCCAGCUAAUUAAAAAAACAAAGUUUAGUAGAGACGGAGGUCUCCCUAUGUUGCCCAGGCUGGUCUCGAACUCCUCACCUCAAGUAAUCCUCCUACCUUGGCCUCCCAAAUUGUUGGAAUUACAAGCGUGAGCCACCAUGCCCAGUACUGUCUGGUUUCUUAAUAACAUUGUUGAGCCAUUGCAAUAGCCUUGGGAUAUUGCUCUUUGUACUUUUUCUUAUGCAAGAAAAACAGAUUCACAAGUUAUUUGAUGACUCUCUUCCCAUCAAAAGGAAAAGUCUAAUUCUUUUUCCCUUGAUUAUGGAUCAGCUUGAGCUUGUUGCUUCUAACAAAUGGAAGAGAGCAACAUGCUGGAGUGAUCACAUGGAGGAAGCACAAAGGGAUACAUGCCCAAGGGGCCCCAGCUGUUCCAGCCCCUAGACAUUUGAAUCUACUCAGGCACCAAGUAAGCAGGUGAAUAGCCUUCAGGUGAUUGCGGCCCACUCCCAGCUGAAGCCAAGUGGAGCGCAGAUGAGCUUCCCCUGCUGAGCCCUGCCCAAAUUGCAGAUUUGGAAGCAAAAUGAAUAUUGUUUUAAGCCACAAAUUUGUGAGUGUUUUGUUACAUAGUAUAAGGAGCCAGAACAGCUCUACAGAUGUAAAUUAUAGUCAGAUAUGUUGCUAUUUAUAACCAAAGCAUUCCUAACUUAUAAAUGUUUCAACAUUAAUAAGCAGAAGAAAGUGUAAUAAUCUUAUCAAGGUAAUACAAGUUACUUGUUUAAUAUAACCACCUUCAUGGCAAGCCUCAAUUUCAUAACCUAAUCACUUUGAGUACAACUUGGACCUAAUGGGUAGCUUUUUUUUUUUUUUUUUUUUUGAGACAGGGUCUUGCUCUGUCACCCAGGAUGGAGUACAGUGACACAAUCAUGGCUCAGCACAGUCUCAAACUCCUGGGCUGAAAUGAUCCUCCUACCUCAGCAUCCUGAGUAGCUGGGACUAAAGGCAGGCCCCACUAUGCCCAGCUAAUUUAUAAUUUUUUUUUUUUUCUGUAGAGAUGGAGCCUUGCUAUGUUGCCCAGGCUGAUCUUGAGCUCCUGGGCUCAAGCAGUCCUCCAGCUCAACAUCCCCAAGUAUUGGGAUUAUAGGCAUGAACCACCACUCUUGGCCUCUGUGU
rnacentral:lncRNA from 10 species